CAGUAGCCGCGGUAAUACAGAGGGUGCGAGCGUUAAUCGGAUUUACUGGGCGUAAAGCGUGCGUAGGCGGCUUUUUAAGUCGGAUGUGAAAUCCCUGAGCUUAACUUAGGAAUUGCAUUCGAUACUGGGAAGCUAGAGUAUGGGAGAGGAUGGUAGAAUUCCAGGUGUAGCGGUGAAAUGCGUAGAGAUCUGGAGGAAUACCGAUGGCGAAGGCAGCCAUCUGGCCUAAUACUGACGCUGAGGUACAAAAGCAUGGGGAGCAAACAGGAUUAGAUACCCCCGUAGUCCCUGUCUCUUAUAA
rnacentral:rRNA from 1 species